ACGGUAACAGGAAGAAGCUUGCUUCUUUGCUGACGAGUGGCGGACGGGUGAGUAAUGCUUAGGGAUCUGCCCAGAGGUGGGGGACAACAGUUGGAAACGACUGCUAAUACCGCAUGAUGCCUACGGGCCAAAGGGGGCUUCGGCUCUCGCCUUUGGAGGAACCUAAGUGAGAUUAGCUAGUUGGUGAGGUAAUGGCUCACCAAGGCGACGAUCUCUAGCUGGUCUGAGAGGAUGAUCAGCCACACUGGAACUGAGACACGGUCCAGACUCCUACGGGAGGCAGCAGUGGGGAAUAUUGCACAAUGGGGGAAACCCUGAUGCAGCCAUGCCGCGUGUGUGAAGAAGGCCUUCGGGUUGUAAAGCACUUUCAGUAGCGAGGAAAAGUUAUUGGUUAAUACCCAAUAGCCUUGACGUUAACUACAGAAGAAGCACCGGCUAACUCCGUGCCAGCAGCCGCGGUAAUACGGAGGGUGCGAGCGUUAAUCGGAAUUACUGGGCGUAAAGCGCAUGCAGGCGGUCUGUUAAGCCAGAUGUGAAAGCCCGGGGCUCAACCCCGGAAUAGCAUUUGGAACUGGCAGACUAGAG
rnacentral:rRNA from 1 species